GAUGAACGCUGGCGGUAUGCUUAACACAUGCAAGUCGAACGGACUCUUCGGAGUUAGUGGCGGACGGGUGAGUAACGCGUGAGAAUCUGCCUUCAGGUCGGGGACAACAGUUGGAAACGACUGCUAAUACCCGAUGUGCAGCAAUGUGAAAGAUUUAUUGCCUGAAGAUGAGCUCGCGUCUGAUUAGCUAGUAGGUGUGGUAAUGGCGCACCUAGGCGACGAUCAGUAACUGGUCUGAGAGGAUGACCAGUCACACUGGGACUGAGACACGGCCCAGACUCCUACGGGAGGCAGCAGUGGGGAAUUUUCCGCAAUGGGCGAAAGCCUGACGGAGCAAUACCGCGUGAGGGACGACGGCUUUUGGGUUGUAAACCUCUUUUCCCUGGGAAGAAGAUCUGACGGUACCAGGGGAAUCAGCAUCGGCUAACUUCGUGCCAGCAGCCGCGGUAAU
rnacentral:rRNA from 1 species